rnacentral:rRNA from 1 species
CAGCAGCCGCGGGAAUACGAAGGGGGCUAGCGUUGUUCGGAUUUACUGGGCGUAAAGCGCACGUAGGCGGAUCGAUCAGUCAGGGGUGAAAUCCCAGAGCUCAACUCUGGAACUGCCUUUGAUACUGUCGAUCUGGAGUAUGGAAGAGGUGAGUGGAAUUCCGAGUGUAGAGGUGAAAUUCGUAGAUAUUCGGAGGAACACCAGUGGCGAAGGCGGCUCACUGGUCCAUUACUGACGCUGAGGUGCGAAAGCGUGGGGAGCAAACAGGAUUAGAUACCCGGGUAGUCCCUGUCUCUUAUAU